rnacentral:rRNA from 1 species
UGGGGAAUCUUGGACAAUGGGGGCAACCCUGAUCCAGCGAUGCCGCGUGAGCGAAGAAGGCCUUAGGGUUGUAAAGCUCUUUCGCCCGCGACGAUGAUGACGGUAGCGGGAGAAGAAGCCCCGGCUAACUCCGUGCCAGCAGCCGCGGUAAUACGGAGGGGGCUAGCGUUGUCCGGAAUUACUGGGCGUAAGGGCGCGUAGGCGGCGCGGGAAGUCACUUGUGAAAUCUCGGAGCUUAGCUCAGAACGGCCAAGUGAUACUGCUGUGCUAGAGGGCGGAAGAGGCAACCGGAAUUCUUGGUGUAGCGGUGAAAUGCGUAGAUAUCAAGAGGAACACCUGAGGCGAAGGCGGGUUGCUGGGCCGACACUGACGCUGAUGCGCGAAAGCCAGGGGAGCAAACG